GCUCCCGAGAGCGGGAAGAGGAAAUUUGAGGUAGUUCUGAUUUUGCUGUCGGGUUUAAUACGCUCUAACAGGCUUCGUAAAAUUGCAGGAGAGAUGGGCAUAAGUGAUUCCUUCUGGAAGGCUGUACAGAGAGUGGAUGGAAGUGGACACAUCUCUCAGGGUUUGGGAUAACCAACAGGAGCUGCUGUACUGAGUGAAUUUUGCUGGAAGAGCUCAUAGCAGCAGCAGAAAUAGUAGCAAUAAAGAGUCAUGCAAGGCAUCAGAUCUGAAGAGAACCUAUCUGACUGGAUUCACCGUAAGAUCAACUGCAGUACAUAAAGUGCACAGAGCUCUACCGCCAUCCGC